UACGUAGGGCGCAAGCGUUGUCCGGAAUUAUUGGGCGUAAAGAGCUCGUAGGCGGUCUGUCGCGUCGGAUGUGAAAGCCCGGGGCUUAACCCCGGGUCUGCAUUCGAUACGGGCAGACUAGAGUGUGGUAGGGGAGAUCGGAAUUCCUGGUGCAGCGGUGAAAUGCGCAGAUAUCAGGAGGAACGCCGGUGGCGAAGGCGGAUCUCUGGGCCAUUACUGACGCUGAGGAGCGAAAGCGUGGGGAGCGAACAGG
rnacentral:rRNA from 1 species